GGGAGCCUGGUAUCAGCCCUGGGGUCAGCUACUAUCAGAAGCUGCAAUCCCAGAAAGCUGCCUGGACCUGGUUAGUGAAGAUUCCAGGAACGAAGUGGCCAGCAACAGGAGUGGCUCCAGCAACAGCAGCAACAGCAGCAGCAGCAAAUUUUAGCACAGUCACUGGCCAGUAUUCCUGGACUGAUAUGCCACUGACAUUAGCCAGGUUUUUCAUGGUAACUUCAGGAGUUGCUCCCAGGUUCUCUUCAAAUUUCCGAUGCAGAUGCCAUCACUUUCCCUUUUAUUCCAUUUAGAAGUCAACCCACCUAACUGGAUUCCUGCUGCAAGGAAUUUGAGGACACCCUCCUCCUUCAUUUGCAGAACAUCAAGGGCUCCAGGGAGGGUGAAGUUUCCCCUUCAACUUACAAUGGGAAUCCAGAACAAUGCCAUAUGGACUCCUUUCUGUUGAACGUUGAGUGAGCUUGGCUUCAAAGCAAGCAUGAUGAACAAGAAACAUGGCUAGUGGACAAGAGGAGGAAACGAGGACCAUACGAGAGAGAGGAAAGAACAUGAGGGCAAAGUGGCUGUCUGCAAGUCAGGAAGAGACCUCUCAACAGAAACUGACUCUGCCAGAACUUAAUUUGGAACAUCUAUGCUCCAGAACUGUUGAGAAAAUAACUUCCUGUUGUUUAAGCCACUCAGUCUACAGUAUUUUGUUAUGACAGCCUGAGCCACACCAAGAUGUUCCCAAUAUGCCACUUUUAAGCAAAGGAUAUGAGUUGGAGGUGAGAAUCCACAGACAAAAUGUAACUCAUAAUAAUAUCAGAAACCAUCACUUGUUUGUACUCUCUUUAUUACUAAAGGAUGCCAAAUCUGGGGGAAAGGCAAUCCAAAGAUGUAUAAUUAAAAGAGUUUUCCCUCCCUCAA